rnacentral:rRNA from 1 species
AGUAACGCGUGAGGAACCUGCCUCAAAGAGGGGGACAACAGUUGGAAACGACUGCUAAUACCGCAUAAGCCCACGGCUCGGCAUCGAGCAGAGGGAAAAGGAGCGAUCCGCUUUGAGAUGGCCUCGCGUCCGAUUAGCUAGUUGGUGAGGUAACGGCCCACCAAGGCGACGAUCGGUAGCCGGACUGAGAGGUUGAACGGCCACAUUGGGACUGAGACACGACCCAG